AGACAAUGGUGUGCGCCAUGGUGUCCCAGAGGUAGCAGGUGCGGUCGUAGCCAGAAGUCAGGAACUGGUGGUGGCUGGGGUGAGGUGCCAGGCCCCACAACUCCUCAGUGUGGCCCUGGGGAGCAGUGAGUCAGUGUCCACCAUCACCAGCACCACCAGCACAGCGCCUCACCUGCAUGACGGGGCGCAUGUCAAAGGUGAAGGUUCCCUCCAGCACACAGUUGCGGAUGGUGCCGAUCACCAGCUGGGAUCCACGGCCGGAGGUCACCACACGGGGGGGACCGUACUGAUCUGGCACCUGCAUCACAUUCCGGUGCGCUCCAGGUCACGGUCCCACUCCACAAUGUUGCCGUCCUUGCCACCUGUGAUAAUUGUGCCGUCCUUCUGCACCAGGAUGGAGAACACCGGUCCCUCGUGGGCACCCCGUACCAUCUUGUCCACCGUGUUGCCGCCUGGAGAGCAUUGAGGGUGGAUGUUUGGAGUGAAGGCCCAGGAGGAGGAAGUGAAGGAAGGUCAAGGUGAUACAGAUGAAGGAGAAAGGAAAGGAAGUGGAGAGGAAAGGAAGAUUGAAAUAGAUGUUCGACUACAGCCUAUAUUCUAAAAUGCUUUGCUCUCUCUCUCUCUCUCUCUCUCUCUCUCUCUCUCUCUCAAUACUUUCCAAAGCCACAGAGAUGAUUUGCCAAGUUCUCAAGAGUGCUUCUCCUUUCCUUCACUUCAUCUACCUUUCCUUACUUUGUCUCAUUUCUUUCUCA